rnacentral:tRNA from 1 species
GGGCUCGUAGCUCAGCAUGGAUAGAGCGCCUGCCUUCUAAACGUCCUGUUGAAGACAGCCGGAAGUCGUGGGAUCGAAGCCCACCGGGCCCG